rnacentral:rRNA from 1 species
UAGUAGCAAUACUAUGAGAGCGGCGCACGGGUGCGUAACGCGUAUGCAACCUGCCUUAUGCAGGGGGAUAGCCCGGGGAAACCCGGAUUAAUACCCCAUAGAUCAAUAAAGCCGCAUGGUUUAAUUGGUAAAGAUUUAUCGGCAUAAGAUGGGCAUGCGUCUGAUUAGCUGGAUGGUAGGGUAACGGCCUACCAUGGCGACGAUCAGUAGGGGUUCUGAGAGGAUUACCCCCCACACUGGUACUGAGACACGGACCAGACUCCUACGGGAGGCAGCAGUGAGGAAUAUUGGUCAAUGGGCGCAAGCCUGAACCAGCCAUCCCGCGUGAAGGAUGAAUGCCUUAUGGGUUGUAAACUUCUUUUACGAUGGAAGAAACCCCCCGACGCGUCGGGGGUUGCCGGUACAUCGGGAAUAAGCAUCGGCUAACUCCGUGCCAGCAGCCGCGGUAAUACGGAGGAUGCAAGCGUUAUCCGGAUUUAUUGGGUUUAAAGGGUGCGCAGGUGGCUUUGUAAGUCAGUGGUGAAAGUCUGCCGCUUAACGGUAGGACUGCCAUUGAUACUGCGGGGCUUGAGUUUGGGUGAGGUAGGCGGAAUGAGUAGUGUAGCGGUGAAAUGCAUAGAUAUUACUCAGAACACCGAUUGCGAAGGCAGCUUACUAACCCGCAACUGACACUGAGGCACGAAAGCGUGGGGAUCAAACAGGAUUAGAUACCCUGGUAGUCCACGCCGUAAACGAUGAUCACUCGCUGUUAGCGAUAUACAGUUAGCGGCUAAGCGAAAGCGUUAAGUGAUCCACCUGGGGAGUACGAUCGCAAGGUUGAAACUCAAAGGAAUUGACGGGGGCCCGCACAAGCGGAGGAACAUGUGGUUUAAUUC